rnacentral:rRNA from 1 species
AGAGGAUACACCUGUUCCCAUUCCGAACACAGAAGUUAAGCUCUUUAGCGCUGAUGGUACUUGGUGGGAAACUGCCUGGGAGAGUAGGACGUAGCCACGU